UUUGACGUUAGCGACAGAAGAAGCACCGGCUAACUCCGUGCCAGCAGCCGCGGUAAUACGGAGGGUGCGAGCGUUAAUCGGAAUUACUGGGCGUAAAGCGCAUGCAGGUGGUUUGUUAAGUCAGAUGUGAAAGCCCGGGGCUCAACCUCGGAAUUGCAUUUGAAACUGGCAGACUAGAGUACUGUAGAGGGGGGUAGAAUUUCAGGUGUAGCGGUGAAAUGCGUAGAGAUCUGAAGGAAUACCGGUGGCGAAGGCGGCCCCCUGGACAGAUACUGACACUCAGAUGCGAAAGCGUGGGGAGCAAACAGGAUUAGAUACCCUGGUAGUCCACGCCGUAAACGAUGUCUACUUGGAGGUUGUGGCCUUGAGCCGUGGCUUUCGGAGCUAACGCGUUAAGUAGACCGCCUGGGGAGUACGGUCGCAAGAUUAAAACUCAAAUGAAUUGACGGGGGCCCGCACAAGCGGUGGAGCAUGUGGUUUAAUUCGAUGCAACGCGAAGAACCUUACCUACUCUUGACAUCCAGAGAACUUUCCAGAGAUGGAUUGGUGCCUUCGGGAACUCUGAGACAGGUGCUGCAUGGCUGUCGUCAGCUCGUGUUGUGAAAUGUUGGGUUAAGUCCCGCAACGAGCGCAACCCUUAUCCUUGUUUGCCAGCGAGUAAUGUCGGGAACUCCAGGGAGACUGCCGGUGAUAAACCGGAGGAAGGUGGGGACGACGUCAAGUCAUCAUGGCCCUUACGAGUAGGGCUACACACGUGCUACAAUGGCGCAUACAGAGGGCAGCCAACUUGCGAAAGUGAGCGAAUCCCAAAAAGUGCGUCGUAGUCCGGAUUGGAGUCUGCAACUCGACUCCAUGAAGUCGGAAUCGCUAGUAAUCGUGGAUCAGAAUGCCACGGUGAAUACGUUCCCGGGCCUUGUACACACCGCCCGUCACACCAUGGGAGUGGGCUGCAAAAGAAGUAGGUAGUUUAACCUUCGGGGGGACGCUUACCACUUUGUGGUUCAUGACUGGGGUGAAGUCGUAACAAGGUAGCGCUAGGGGAACCUGGCGCUGGAUCACC
rnacentral:rRNA from 1 species